CUGAGAGUAGAACUGUAUUUGAGAUAUGGAAACUCCUAUCUUAUAUCUAAAAACCAUUGUUGCUACCUGGUUGAGCUCCAGUUCCACUUCCUGGGUGAUUGGGACCAUCCUCCCCAUCCUGUGUGGCCUGGUCCUCUUCCUCCGUUCCUUCCCUCCCUCCAGAGGAAUUCGUCCUUACAACCACCUUACAAAAGGAGAAAGGUCAGGAAGCGUCAAGUGCAGCCGAGAGGGAGGAGCAGCAGGAACAGCAAGAAAAGGGGAGCUUUGAAAGCUUACAGAGCUGGCCAGAAGGACAUGGCAGAAGUGGGGAGUCUGAUGUCCCCUUCGCAAAGGGUGUCAGCAACCUCAUCCUUGCAAUCUUGGAAGACUGGAGAAACACUACAACAUGAUUCUUGCAGAGUUAAGCCUGUACAGAGAACUAGGUGACUAGAAAAGAACAGGCAAGAAGAUUGGCUUAAAUUUCUAAAUGGCAGUGACUUUAAACUUGUCUGUAACAUUUUGCAUAAGGCAGAAGUGUAGAACUGGUGAAGGUGG
rnacentral:lncRNA from 1 species